rnacentral:lncRNA from 1 species
UAUAAUGGAAAUAUAGGGAUUAAUUUAUUACUUUUUGGUUUACAAACAAAGGCACCCAAUAAUGCUUCUAUUUACUGCUUAUAAAAGAGUAUUAUUUACAUUAAAAAAUUUUAAAAAUCUGAAAUAAGUUCCUAGAUACACAAAGGGGAAAUGAGAUCUUUUCCUUCCCUGCUUCCAAGCUUUAUUUACAGACUCAAAGAAUAGUCUAUGGCGUCCUGAAGUCAAAAACAAAAGAACACAACAACAACAACAAAUCCCAACCACAGUGUCUUCUCCUCAGCAUCGAGUUUUAGGACGCCUCAGUGUUGCUAGGUAAAUUUAAAUAUGGUCACAACAUCACAAUUCACAAAUGCAUACACCAGAGCUAAGAGUGAAUGGGGGGCACCCAAAUGUUUUAGAAUACAGUUUUAUUAAAUGAAUUAAAUGAAAUAAAUUUAUUUUAUAGGCGGUCCAGUUAAAUGAGUUUGUGAAGAAAACAGAACUAUAAACAUUGUCCAGCAAAUGACACAAACACAGUGGAUUUCCAAAAUUUUUAAAUUUGACUUAAAUCCAAAAUCUAGAUGGCAUCAAUUGUCAAUCUAUAUACUUAUUAUAUUAAUUUUAGGACUUAAUUUAUUCUUUAUCUUUCUUUCACAACAGAAUUUCAAACACAAAAAAUUAAUGCAGUGGCCUCAGUACCCCACUAGUUAAUAUUUCUUUAAAUUCUAAGGACAACAGAACAGUUCAGAAAACAAACUCUAUGUACUUCACAGGCCUGCAUAAGUUGUGCCCCUAUUCUUUUGUAAAACACAAGUUGAUCUGACUCUAGUUAUUUGGCAGGAGUAUAAAAUCAUACAAAUUUCAGCACACUAUGGAAAUGUAUUUGGAGAUGGGGUGCUCAAUGCACAUUACACAGGCCACUUAAAUCAAAGCCUUCAUCAUUAAUCCCACUUUCACACACUCUCAAGGUCUCUCACACCUCAUACAAGGUAUGGUCCUAAACCAGAGACUAUUUUUAGUAUCAUUCCAAAGAAUAUAUAGGUAUUUACAUAAAUACUUCUUUUAAAAUAAUGUUUAAAAGUUUUACGAUAGAAAAUCUAGCUUCAACAUGGAAGCAUUUUUCCUUUUCAAGAUUAUACACCUGCAUAUAAGGUGAUUUCCUUUACAUUUAGUUUUUCCAAAACAGCAAAAUAAACUUCUUAUACAUGGCAUUUUUACUGAC